rnacentral:rRNA from 1 species
AACAAGGAUUCCCCUAGUAACUGCGAGUGAAGAGGGAAAAGCUCAAAUUUAAAAUCUGGCAGUCUUUGAUUGUCCGAGUUGUAAUUUAGAGAAGUGUUACCCGUGUUGGACCGUGUACAAGUUUCCUGGAAUGGAACGUCAUAGAGGGUGAGAAUCCCGUCUUUGACACGGAUCCCAAUGCAUUGUGGUGCGCUCUCGAAGAGUCGAGUUGUUUGGGAAUGCAGCUCUAAAUGGGUGGUAAAUUCCAUCUAAAGCUAAAUAUUGGGGAGAGACCGAUAGCGAACAAGUACCGUGAGGGAAAGAUGAAAAGAACUUUGGAAAGAGAGUUAAACAGUACGUGAAAUUGCUAAAAGGGAAACGCUUGAAGUCAGUCGCGUUGGCCGGGGAUCAGCCUUCCUUUUGGUUGGUGUACUUCCUGGUUGAUGGGUCAGCAUCAGUUUUGAUCGGUGGAUAAAGGUGAGGGGAAUGUGGCAUCUUCGGGUGUGUUAUAGCCUCUUAUUGUAUACAUCGGUUGGGACUGAGGAACUCAGCACGCCGCAAGGCCGGGUUUUUAACCACGUUCGUGCUUAGGAUGCUGGCAUAAUGGCUUUAAUCGACCCGUCUUGAAACACGGACCAAGGAGUCUAACAUGCCUGCGAGUGUUUGGGUGGAAAACCCGAGCGCGUAAUGAAAGUGAAAGUUGGGAUCUCUGUCGUGGAGAGCACUGACGCCCUGCCCAGACCUUUUGUGACGGUGCAGCGGUAGAGCAUGUAUGUUGGGACCCGAAAGAUGGUGAACUAUGCCUGAAUAGGGUGAAGCCAGAGGAAACUCUGGUGGAAGCUCGUAGCGAUUCUGACGUGCAAAUCGAUCGUCGAAUUUGGGUAUAGGGGCGAAAGAC